rnacentral:rRNA from 1 species
GAUGAACGCUGGCGGCGUGCCUAACACAUGCAAGUCGAACGAAGCUUGACGGAUGAUUUCUUCGGAAUGAAACCUGAUAUGACUUAGUGGCGGACGGGUGAGUAACACGUGAGCAACCUGCCUUUCAGAGGGGGAUAACGGCUGGAAACGGUCGCUAAUACCGCAUGAUGUGUUCGGAUGGCAUCAUCUGAACAUCAAAGAUUUAUCGCUGAAAGAUGGGCUCGCGUCUGAUUAGAUAGUUGGUGGGGUAACGGCCUACCAAGUCGACGAUCAGUAGCCGGACUGAGAGGUUGAACGGCCACAUUGGGACUGAGACACGGCCCAAAAUCCUACGGGAGCAGCAGUGGGGAAUAUUGCACAAUGGGGGAAACCCUGAUGCAGCGACGCCGCGUGAGUGAUGAAGUAUUUCGGUAUGUAAAACUCUAUCAGCAGGGANAUAAUGACGGUACCUGACUAAGAAG